rnacentral:ncRNA from 1 species
GAAGCAUUGAGGAGAAAACAUCCUCAAGCUAUUCUGAAAAUUUAAAUGGGUGAGAAGCUUAACUCACUUAAAUGGAGUUUUGCAUUGAAUGUGAGUGCCAAGUUGGCUAUUUUCGGCAAGCAGAACUGGCGCUGUGGGAUGAACCAAAUAUGCGGUUAGGGUGCCUAACGCGACGCCCAUGAGAUACCCCAAAAGGCAUUGGUUGGUCCAGACAGCAGGACAGUGGCCAUGGAAGUCGGAAACAGCUAAGGAGUGUGUAAAAACUCACCUACCGAAUCAACCAGCUCUGAAAAUGGAUGGCACUCAGGGGUGGUAGUAGCAAAUAUUCAAGUGAGAACCUUGAAGGCCGAAGUGGAGAAGGGUUCCAUGGGAACAGCAGUUGGCCAUGGGUCAGGCGGUCCUAUGUGAUCCGGUAAAUCGGAACAGAGACGGGGUGUCUGACAUUGUCUGCUUGGGGGCUUUGUUAGUACUGCUGCUAAAUUGUACUGUUGCAACGCAGCCCCCUGUAGCAAAAGGGAAUCGGGUUAAUAUUCCUGACCCCGUGUCCAUGGAGACUGGUGCACGUUGGAUCUUUGAUUCAGUGUAUGCCCUGCAACUUGUUAUUAAUUUUAAUACUGUUACUCUUAUCAUUUGUUCCAUGGUUUCUGAAUGGAACGUAGAAGUUCAGCAGUACAUUUGAAUUUCACUGGGUUAUCUGCCAACAUCUUCAACUGACUCCAUGACCGCUUACAAGCU